GGGAGGCCGGCAAAAUAGUAUGUGAAGGCACAGGGAGUGCGCCCAACACCUUCCUGCCACUAUGCUAUUGUGUCAUUGCCAGGGAUGCCAAUCGGUGCCCCAGAUGAUCUUGCUUGCAGUAGUUAAUUAUUGUAACUCCAAGGAGAAGAGAAUUCCUGUCUAAGGCAGAGCCACUAGUGUGCCAGGGCACUUGUGUGAUGAACAGAUUGAUCGGAUAUAUCUGGAGAGUGAAAGUGUUGAAGCCAAGCAUUUCAAGGCAAUAAAAAGUUGCCUGAUUAUUUGGCUUUAGUGCAGCGAAGGAAAAUAAGGACUGAAGGAGCAAGACUCAGUACUCAAGAGCAACACAGCUAACAACCAUGCAACCAAAGCAAGGAACAAAAACAAAGAAGUUUACGUCUAUGCAAUUUGAAGCAUAAACAAAUGAAAUGUAUGAAAUAUUUUAAAUUUUUUAAAUUUGUUUUCUUCGCUUCAGGUUGUCUGUAUUGCUUGGUUAGCUGAGAUGGGGACUCAGCAGGGAAAAACUAAUUCCCCCUUGCAAUAUUUUUACAAGGUUGUACGCAUAAUUUCUGUCUAACU